AUUGAACGCUGGCGGCAGGCCUAACACAUGCAAGUCGAGCGGAUGAAGGGAGCUUGCUCCUGGAUUCAGCGGCGGACGGGUGAGUAAUGCCUAGGAAUCUGCCUGGUAGUGGGGGAUAACGUCCGGAAACGGGCGCUAAUACCGCAUACGUCCUGAGGGAGAAAGUGGGGGAUCUUCGGACCUCACGCUAUCAGAUGAGCCUAGGUCGGAUUAGCUAGUUGGUGGGGUAAAGGCCUACCAAGGCGACGAUCCGUAACUGGUCUGAGAGGAUGAUCAGUCACACUGAAACUGAGAAAGGUUCAGACUCCUACGGGAGGCAGCAGUGGGGAAUAUUGGACAAUGGGCGAAAGCCUGAUCCAGCCAUGCCGCGUGUGUGAAGAAGGUCUUCGGAUUGUAAAGCACUUUAAGUUGGGAGGAAGGGCAGUAAGUUAAUACCUUGCUGUUUUGACGUUACCAACAGAAUAAGCACCGGCUAACUUCGUG
rnacentral:rRNA from 1 species